rnacentral:rRNA from 1 species
ACUCGGCUGCAUGAAGCUGGAAUCGCUAGUAAUCGCGGAUCAGAAUGCCGCGGUGAAUACGUUCCCGGGUCUUGUACACACCGCCCGUCACACCAUGGGAGUUGGGAAUGCCCGAAGUCAGUGGCCCAACCGUAAGGGGGGAGCUGCCGAAGGCAGAUCCGAUGACUGGGGUGAAGUCGUAACAAGGUAAC